rnacentral:rRNA from 1 species
CCUACGGGUGGCAGCAGUGAGGAAUAUUGGUCAAUGGACGAGAGUCUGAACCAGCCAAGUAGCGUGAAGGAUGACUGCCCUAUGGGUUGUAAACUUCUUUUAUAUGGGAAUAAAACGUGCCACGUGUGGGAUGUUGUAUGUACCAUAUGAAUAAGGAUCGGCUAACUCCGUGCCAGCAGCCGCGGUAAGACGGAGGUUCCGAGCGUUAGCCGGCUUUAUUGGGGUUCAAGGGAGCGUAGGUGGCUUGUUAAGUCAGUUGUGAAAGUUUGCGGCUCCACCGUAAAAUUGCAGUUGAAACUGGCAGUCUUGCGUACAGUAGAGGUGGGCGGAAUUCGUUGUGUAGCCGU